GAUGAACGCUGGCGGCGUGCCUAAUACAUGCAAGUCGAGCGAACAGACGAGGAGCUUGCUCCUCUGACGUUAGCGGCGGACGGGUGAGUAACACGUGGAUAACCUACCUAUAAGACUGGGAUAACUUCGGGAAACCGGAGCUAAUACCGGAUCAUAUAUUGAACCGCAUGGUUCAAUAGUGAAAGACGGUUUUGCUGUCACAUAUAGAUGGAUCCGCGCCGCAUUAGCUAGUUGGUAAGGUAACGGCUUACCAAGGCAACGAUGCGUAGCCGACCUGAGAGGGUGAUCGGCCACACUGGAACUGAGACACGGUCCAGACUCCUACGGGAGGCAGCAGUAGGGAAUCUUCCGCAAUGGGCGAAAGCCUGACGGAGCAACGCCGCGUGAGUGAUGAAGGUCUUCGGAUCGUAAAACUCUGUUAUUAGGGAAGAACAAAUGUGUAAGUAACUAUGCACGUCUUGACGGUACCUAAUCAGAAAGCCACGGCUAACUACGUG
rnacentral:rRNA from 1 species